UCCUUCGUGGUCUAGGGGUUAGGAUAGUGGUCUCUCACACCACAGGCCCGGGUUCGAGUCCCGGCGAAGGAA
rfam:Galdieria sulphuraria unplaced genomic scaffold scaf_94, whole genome shotgun sequence.